rnacentral:tRNA from 1 species
GGAGAGUUGUCCGAGUGGUUGAAGGAGCACGACUGGAAAUCGUGUGUGCGUCAAAAGCGUACCGAGGGCUCGAAUCCCUCACUCUCCGCCA